GACGAACUGUGCAAACGUUAUUCGGAAUCACUGGGCUUGAAGAGUGCGUAGGCGGUUUUGUAAGUAGGGUGUGAAAGCCCCCGGCUCAACCGGGGAAUUGUGCCCUAGACUGCAAGGCUGGAGUGAGGUAGGGGUGUGUGGAACUUCUAGUGGAGCGGUGAAAUGUGUUGAUAUUAGAAGGAACGCCGGUGGCGAAAGCGACACACUGGACCUUGUCUGACGCUGAGGCACGAAAGCCAGGGGAGCAAACGGG
rnacentral:rRNA from 1 species